AAACCCUUCCUAUACUA
rnacentral:tRNA from 1 species